rnacentral:rRNA from 1 species
AACCGGAGGAAGGUGGGGAUGACGUCAAGUCCUCAUGGCCUUUAUGCCUAGGGCUACACACGUGCUACAAUGGGUGGUACAAAGAGCAGCUAACUCGCGAGAGUAUGCAAAUCUACAAAAAGCCAUCCUCAGUUCGGAUUGGAGUCUGCAACUCGACUCCAUGAAGUUGGAAUCGCUAGUAAUCGCGGAUCAGCAUGCCGCGGUGAAUACGUUCCCGGGCCUU